UACGACGGGGGCUAGCGUUGUUCGGAAUUACUGGGCGUAAAGGGCGCGUAGGCGGUGUGUCAAGUCCGGCGUGAAAGCCCCGGGCUCAACCUGGGAACCGCGCUUGAGACUGGCACGCUAGAGUUCGGGAGAGGAUGGUGGAAUUCCCAGUGUAGAGGUGAAAUUCGUAGAUAUUGGGAAGAACACCGAUGGCGAAGGCAGCCAUCUGGACCGACACUGACGCUGAGGCGCGAAAGCGUGGGGAGCAAACAGG
rnacentral:rRNA from 1 species